AAAGGAAAGAAAGAGAAAAUAGAAAAGAAACUAAUGCCAACAACGGCGGAUCGACAAAAAAACGAAGAAGCCUUGAGGCCGCUGCACCCACCGGAGAUCGCCCACCAAGCUCCGAGCUUCCGAAGCGCCGGUACCAAUCAGCACCUUCAAGAAGGAACGCGACGAUGACGACGCUGCUGCCAAGGGUUUCCCCCGGUACGCUGUGAGGAGAGAGGAAGGGUAGCCCCGACGCCCUUCAGGAAGGUCAGGCGGUACCCACAAGCGCCACCGCCUCAGUGUCGGCCAAGCCAACAGAGAUUUCUCCCGAUCCCAACCACCACCUCAGGCACUCCAGAGCUCGCCACCAAACAGACCCUCACCCUGCGCCAACCCGGUCACGAAGCUUCUCAGGCCGUCUCACCACAGCACCGUGAAGCAUGGUCCGCAUAAAGAAGGAGAGGAGCCGGGACUAGGGCAGCAGCACCGUCGGCACGCGGGAGGGCCCCACCUCCACUGUCUCGACGGUAGCUGACCGGACGCAAUAGCAGGAACAUACCAGGCCCGUGGCCGCACAGGCCCGGCCGGGAUCUCCGAGGCCGUAAAGUUCCCGCCUUCGCGCUGCAGCCGGCACGCCGUCGACGCCGCCGCCCCUGUCCAAGCCGCUCCCCUGCCUCCCCCGCACAGAGAGCCGCCAAGUGAAAGCACCACCACCACGCGCGCCGCCGGCCACCACCACCAGGUCGCCGGACCGCCACCGGCCGAGUCGCACCACCACCGCACGCCCGCGACGGAGGGGAACCAACGCAGCCGCCAAGGGCCCGAAGCUGGACCCCAGCCGCCGCCCACGCCGCCCGCAGCCCGCGCCGCCU
rnacentral:lncRNA from 1 species